GAUCCCUGAAAGAUGAUCAGGUUGAUAGGUCUGAGGUGGAAGUGUGGCGACACAUGGAGCUGACAGAUACUAAUCGAUCGAGGACUUAACCAUAUUU
rnacentral:rRNA from 1 species